CAUCAAUUAGCAGAUAUAUUUACAAAAGCUUUGAAUGAAGACCAAUUUGAAUUCAUUAGAAGGGAACUAGGCAUGUUAAAUUGUCCCUGAAAAUAAGCUUGUUUGAAUAUAUUUUCUAAAAAAUGUCUCAUCCUUUUCCGUUCUUCUAUGGAUUUGACUUCAUCAUUCUCCUUAGAUUCAAAAUGACAUAUUGAAGUACAACUCAUUAUCUUAACCUAUCUUGAGUCAAACACCU
rnacentral:lncRNA from 1 species